CCCCUAGUAACUGCGAGUGAAGCGGGAAAAGCUCAAAUUUAAAAUCUGGCGCAAGCCCGAGUUGUAAUCUGGAGAAGCAUUUUCUGUGUCGGACCGUGUACAAGUCUCUUGGAACAGAGCGUCAUAGAGGGUGAGAAUCCCGUCCAUGACACGGACUACCGAUGCUUUGUGAUAUGCUCUCGAAGAGUCGAGUUGUUUGGGAAUGCAGCUCAAAAUGGGUGGUAAAUUCCAUCUAAAGCUAAAUAUUGGCGAGAGACCGAUAGCGAACAAGUACCGUGAGGGAAAGAUGAAAAGCACUUUGGAAAGAGAGUUAAACAGUACGUGAAAUUGUUGAAAGGGAAACGCUUGAAGUCAGUCGCGUUGUCUGGAACUCAGCCUUGCUUGCAUGGUGUACUUUCCAGUUAACGGGUCAACAUCAAUUUUGGUUGAUGGAUAAAGGUAGAGGGAAUGUGGCACCUUCGGGUGUGUUAUAGCCCUUUGCUGCAUACAUUGACUGGGAUUGAGGUCUGCAGCACGCCGUCAUGGCCGGGGGUUCGCCCUACGUAACGUGCUUAGGAUGUUGGCAUAAUGGCUUUAAUCGACCCGUCUUGAAACACGGACCAAGGAGUCUAACAUGCCUGCGAGUGUUAGGGUGGAAAACCCUUGCGCAUAAUGAAAGUGAAAGUUGGGACCCUUUACCGGGGCACCGACGCCCGGCCCUGAAGUUUACUGACGGUGCUGCGGUAGAGCAUGUAUGUUGGGACCCGAAAGAUGGUGAACUAUGCCUGAAUAGGGUGAAGCCAGGGGAAACUCUGGUGGAGGCUCGUAGCGAUUCUGACGUGCAAAUCGAUCGUCAAAUUUGGG
rnacentral:rRNA from 1 species